ensembl:misc_RNA 7SK 7SK RNA
GGCUAUGAUGGCAACCAGGAUGCUCCAUUGAUUGUGAGGGUUAAUUUGGCUGAUUGGACAAGCUAGGCAGGCAUCUCCUUCCUCCCUCACCGUGCCACGUGCAGCCCUCCUGAAGCUGUGUGCUCCAUGGAAGAGGACGACCACACCCAAGGAGGACUAGUCUUCUGUCAAGGAAAUAGGAGUAGCUGUUUCCUCCUGCUAGAAUCUCCAAACAAGGGCUCAAACUUCAUAGUAAAGCUCCCAAGACUCCAGACACAUCCAAACGAGGUGUGGCAUGUGGCAGUCUACCUUU